GAUUGUUAGAGUUGAAAAUGUUAACGCAGAAGCAAGUGAACUCGAAAAUGUCGGUGUAGAUUCCCUGCUUAAGCAUGAUGCUAUGAUUGGUUCUGCUAAUGUGCGGUUUGCUAAGGAGGCCGAACUUGAUGUUCAACCACGUUUACCAAACGAACCUGAUGCUCAACUCGACAACAUAGUUCAUUGUACACCUGUUCAAAAGUCCAAGGGAAAGGCUACGAUUGAGGGGAAAUGAUCAAUAAAAAGAACUAUGCCGAUGAGCAAGUCACAGAGGGUCAAGAAUCAAUCAGUUGAGAAUAAUACUGGAUCGAACGAUGGAGAUAAUGAGAACGAACGGACAACGAAUUGGAUUACACCUCUUGUGAUAUCUGCUGGAGACGAGCACUCUUCUUAUAUGGACAACAUUACUACUGAUGCUGACUUAUGUAAGCUGCCAGAGGAUGGUCUUGAUCCUGUAGCCUCUUUACCUCAACUAUGAAAAUGAUAUUACUGAGAUGACGAAUAUCUGCAAUGUUCAACAAAAAGAGCGUGUCGGAGUUGGAAUUGUCACCGGACAAGGAAGUGAACUCGAAAAGUUCGUCGUAGAUUCCAUGAUGAAGGAUGAUGCUACGAUUGCAUCUCCUAACGUGCUGUUUGCUGAGGAGGAAGGACUUGUUAGUUUCGUGUCCAUUUCAUCCGUUCACUAUUGUAGAAUUGUGAUAUAUGUUUAUAUUGUAUUCUUCAAGUUUUAUGUUCGUCAUCUGUAUAAGAUGUUCGACCAACAUCAUCAAACGAACCUGAGGUUGAGCCCGACAACGUAGUUCAGAGUACGCCUGUUCAGAAGGGCGUGUUAUAUCUUUAAGGCAAACUACUAUAUUAAUAUGCAAUUACUUUAUUAUUA